rnacentral:rRNA from 1 species
GUUUUUUCAUUUCAUCAAACAAGCCCUUAAACUUAAGAGUUAUUCAAAUUAGGCACAGCUUAUUUGAAACAGGAUACAACCUCCACCACCGGGUAAACAAGGGUAGUUAAAACUAAGUGGGCCUAAAAGCAGCCACCUUCCAAAAAGCGUCAAAGCUUAUCUACUCCAACCCACAAUUUCUAAAAUACUCCCUAACCCUUCAUUCCUACUGACCCCUUUUAUAUUAUUAUAAAAAUAAUUAUGCUAGAACUAGUAACAAGAAGUUGCCCUUCUCCAUAAUGUAAGUAUAAACCAAAACGGACCUUCCAUUGGUAAUUAACGUAAAUGUAAACCCCAUAAUAACAUAACCAGAAAACCUUAUGGCCCCACACGUUACUCUAACACUAGAACAUUACAGGAAAGAUUAAAAGAGAAAGAAGGAACUCGGCAAAUUUUAACCCCGCCUGUUUACCAAAAACAUCGCCUCUUGAUCAAACAUAAGAGGUCCAGCCUGCCCAGUGACAAAAUUCAACGGCCGCGGUACACUAACCGUGCGAAGGUAGCAUAAUCAUUUGUUCUUUAAAUAAGGACUAGUAUCAACGGCAUCACGAGGGUUAUACUGUCUCCUAUCUCUAAUCAGUGAAACUGAUCCCCCCGUGAAGAAGCGGGGAUUUAGCUAUAAGACGAGAAGACCCCAUGGAGCUUUAAACCCAACAUGCACCCCCUCAUCCAAAUACCAACUUAACCUAGAGGACCUACAUGUCGGUUUUAGGCUGGGGGGGCCACGGAGUAAAAUUAAACCUCCAUAACAAAUGGGCUAACACCCUUAUCCAUGAUUUUACAAAUCUAAGAAUUACCAAAAUAAUGUUUAAUGACCCGAUAAUUCGAUCAAUGAACCAAGUUACCCUGGGGAUAACAGCGCAAUCUACUUCAAGAGCUCUUAUCGACAAGUAGGUUUACGACCUCGAUGUUGGAUCAGGGUAUCCUAGUGGUGCAACCGCUAC